rnacentral:misc_RNA from 1 species
UCAAACUCUGAACGGGUGGG